rnacentral:rRNA from 1 species
UACGGAGGGUGCGAGCGUUGUCCGGAAUCACUGGGCGUAAAGGGCGCGUAGGCGGCGCGGAUAGUCGGCGGUGAAAGCCCGGAGCUCAACUCCGGGUCGGCCGUCGAUACUUCCGGGCUUGAGCACUGUAGAGGCAGAUGGAAUUCCGGGUGUAGCGGUGGAAUGCGUAGAGAUCGGAAGGAACACCAGUGGCGAAGGCGGCUACCUGGACAAAUACUGACGCUGAGGCGCGAGAGCGUGGGGAGCAAACAGG